UGGGGAAUUUUGGACAAUGGGGGAAACCCUGAUCCAGCCAUCCCGCGUGUGCGAUGAAGGCCUUCGGGUUGUAAAGCACUUUUGGCAGGAAAGAAACGUCAUGGGUUAAUACCCCGUGAAACUGACGGUACCUGCAGAAUAAGCACCGGCUAACUACGUGCCAGCAGCCGCGGUAAUACGUAGGGUGCAAGCGUUAAUCGGAAUUACUGGGCGUAAAGCGUGCGCAGGCGGGUCGGAAAGAAAGAUGUGAAAUCCCAGAGCUCAACUUUGGAACUGCAUUUUUAACUACCGGGCUAGAGUGUGUCAGGGGGAGGUGGAAUUCCGCGUGUAGCAGUGAAAUGCGUAGAUAUGCGGAGGAACACCGAUGGCGAAGGCAGCCUCCUGGGAUAACACUGACGCUCAUGCACGAAAGCGUGGGGAGCAAACAGG
rnacentral:rRNA from 1 species